UACAGGGGGUGCAAACGUUGCUCGGAAUCAUUGGGCGUAAAGCGCACGUAGGCGGUUCGUUAUGUCGGAUGUGAAAGCCCUUGGCUUAACCGAGGAAGUGCAUCCGAAACUGGCGAGCUAGAGUACGAAAGAGGAUCGCGGAAUUCCCGGUGUAGAGGUGAAAUUCGUAGAUAUUCGCAAGAACACCGGUGGCGAAGGCGGCCAACUGGACCAUUACUGACGCUGAGGCGCGAAAGCGUGGGGAGCAAACAGG
rnacentral:rRNA from 1 species